UACGUAGGGGGCAAGCGUUGUCCGGAAUCAUUGGGCGUAAAGCGCGUGUAGGCGGCUGGGUAAGUCCGCUCUGAAAGCCCGGGGCUCAACCCCGGGAGGCGGGUGGAUACUGCUCAGCUCGAGUCCGGAAGAGGAGUGUGGAAUUCCUGGUGUAGCGGUGAAAUGCGCAGAUAUCAGGAGGAACACCAAUUGCGAAGGCAGCUCGCUGGGACGUUACUGACGCUGAGACGCGAAAGCGUGGGGAGCAAACAGG
rnacentral:rRNA from 1 species